rnacentral:rRNA from 1 species
AGUUUGCCCUGGCUCAGAUUGAACGCUGGCGGCAGGCCUAACACAUGCAAGUCGAGCGGAUGACGGGAGCUUGCUCCUUGAUUCAGCGGCGGAAGGGUGAGUAAUGCCUAGGAAUCUGCCUGGUAGUGGGGGACAACGUUUCGAAAGGAACGCUAAUACCGCAUACGUCCUACGGGAGAAAGCAGGGGACCUUCGGGCCUUGCGCUAUCAGAUGAGCCUAGGUCGGAUUAGCUAGUAGGUGAGGUAAUGGCUCACCUAGGCGACGAUCCGUAACUGGUCUGAGAGGAUGAUCAGUCACACUGGAACUGAGACACGGUCCAGACUCCUACGGGAGGCAGCAGUGGGGAAUAUUGGACAAUGGGCGAAAGCCUGAUCCAGCCAUGCCGCGUGUGUGAAGAAGGUCUUCGGAUUGUAAAGCACUUUAAGUUGGGAGGAAGGGCAGUAAGCUAAUACCUUGCUGUUUUGACGUUACCGACAGAAUAAGCACCGGCUAACUCUGUGCCAGCAGCCGCGGUAAUACAGAGGGUGCAAGCGUUAAUCGGAAUUACUGGGCGUAAAGCGCGCGUAGGUGGUUCGUUAAGUUGGAUGUGAAAGCCCCGGGCUCAACCUGGGAACUGCAUCCAAAACUGGCGAGCUAGA